UGUAACACCCAAGAAGAAACACCAGAACACCUAAUAUUACAAUGCCCAAGAUUCAAUUCACAUAGAAUAAACCUACUACAAUCAUUAAAACAAUUAAAAAUACAAACUCCUAAUUUAAACUUAUUACUUACAGGUGCAGAUCACCCACCAGUAAAGAAGUAUUACAUUAUGAGACACACAAAAAUCUUCCUACAGAGAACAAGAAUAAUAGAUAUAAUAUAGAAACAACGAAGACCCAUAAAUGAAAAUCCAGGUAGUAUAGACUACUAUAUAGUCUAAAACCCUAUAAAAGAAGAAAGAAGAAAGAAGAAGAGUGACCUUAUCAAAGUCCGAAACCCUGUAGAAGAAGAAAGAAUAAGAAGAAGACCUUAUUAAAAGUCAAAGACGUAUAAAAGAGGAAAGAAGAAGAGUGACCAUAUUACUAGCAGGGAAUAUAGAUUGUAGAAUAGUCUAAACCCUAUAAAACAAGAAAGAAGAGCUUUGGAGUGAAUAUUUUCCUUAUUAAAGCAAAACAUUAGUUUUUAACAAUGUCUUGCGAAUCAAAAAAGCGAAGACACGAGGAAAUGGAACCUGUUCUUGAUUCUGUGGGUGAAAAACCAGAAGCAGUUUUGUUUUUAGUUCAAGAAGGCAUUCAGGGAAAGCGAUUUCAACUAAUGAAGAAUUUUGCUGCAAAGAAUGGAUUUCACUGUGAAGAUCAGCUGUGCGAAAGAGUAACUCAUGUUAUAUCCGAGCUGGAUAAUGUUAAGCAGAUUAAGAAGUUAUACCCACAGCUGUCUCAGAACAGUCACAUUAAGAUUGUUUCAUCUCAGUGGAUGUAUACUUGUGUUCGACAGAAAAUGCAUAUGCCGGAAAACAAUUUCCUAUUGGAAGGUUAUCACCAGUGGUUAGUGGAGAGUCUGCAAGAUGCUCAGAGUUCAAGUAAAAGAAGUGAAUUGGGAUUACAAAGUGAAUCAGCAGACAGCAAACAGAAACUGGCAAAGGAUAACGAGGAGCUGGGUCACACAGAGCAUGAUAAAAAGACCUUCAAUGAGAAUAUCCUUGAACGAAAUGCUAAAUUACAAAACCAUAAUAUGAAAUUGGUAGAGUCAUUAACAUUUAUGAAUAAUUACUGGACUGUCAUGGGUGAUGAAAGAAGAGCACUGGCAUAUGCUAAAGCUGCAGCCACCAUCAAAUGUCUUCCUUUUACCGUCACGACAAUGGAGCAGAUUGAGGAGCUGAAAGGUUUGGGAACUGGACAUUGUCUUAAGGUAGUGCAAGAGGUUCUAAGAACUGGAACUUGUAGAGAGGUCACAACUAAAGCAGAAUCGGAAAAGUAUAUAGGACUAAAGAACUUGACUAGUGUGUAUGGUGUUGGUGCAGGUCUUGCAGAGAAGCUUUAUACAGUUCAUAAUUUAAGAACUGUUCAAGAUAUGAUAACUCAUUGGAAUCACUUGAAAUUAGCAGAUGAGAGGAUCAAGUAUGGAAUUGCAUACCAUCAAGAUCUCAACACUCCAGUGACAAGAGAAGAUGCUGGAAAGAUUGAGUCCAUUUUAAAGGAACACCUGGAUGUCAUCAAGCCAGGGUAUACACUUGAAAUUACUGGUGGAUUUAGGAGGCAGUAUUCAGGAAAGCGUCAGAGAAAGUAAACCCAAUGGAUCAUUUUGAGAAAUGUUUCUGCAUAUUUAGACUCCCAGAGUGUGAACCUUGGACAUCAUCUGAUACACUGAAUAUGGGGAGAGACUUUGAAAGCCUUGUUAAGGAAGGUGAAAGCAAAAGAGAGUGGAAGGCAGUCAGAGUAGACUUUGUAUUUGUUCCAUCCAGCCAGUGGGGCUAUGCACUCCUGGGCUGGACCGGUAGCAAGCUAUAUAUGCGUUUGCUG
rnacentral:misc_RNA from 1 species